rnacentral:rRNA from 1 species
UUUAUGGAGAGUUUGAUCCUGGCUCAGAGUGAACGCUGGCGGCGUGCCUAAUACAUGCAAGUCGAACGAUGAAGCUUCUAGCUUGCUAGAAUGCUGAUUAGUGGCGCACGGGUGAGUAACGCAUAGGUCAUGUGCCUCUUAGUUUGGGAUAGCCAUUGGAAACGAUGAUUAAUACCAGAUACUCCCUACGGGGGAAAGAUUUAUCGCUAAGAGAUCAGCCUAUGUCCUAUCAGCUUGUUGGUAAGGUAAUGGCUUACCAAGGCUAUGACGGGUAUCCGGCCUGAGAGGGUGAACGGACACACUGGAACUGAGACACGGUCCAGACUCCUACGGGAGGCAGCAGUAGGGAAUAUUGCUCAAUGGGGGAAACCCUGAAGCAGCAACGCCGCGUGGAGGAUGAAGGUUUUAGGAUUGUAAACUCCUUUUGUUAGAGAAGAUAAUGACGGUAUCUAACGAAUAAGCACCGGCUAACUCCGUGCCAGCAGCCGCGGUAAUACGGAGGGUGCAAGCGUUACUCGGAAUCACUGGGCGUAAAGAGCGCGUAGGCGGGAUAGUCAGUCAGGUGUGAAAUCCUAUGGCUUAACCAUAGAACUGCAUUUGAAACUACUAUUCUAGAGUGUGGGAGAGGUAGGUGGAAUUCUUGGUGUAGGGGUAAAAUCCGUAGAGAUCAAGAGGAAUACUCAUUGCGAAGGCGACCUGCUGGAACAUUACUGACGCUGAUUGCGCGAAAGCGUGGGGAGCAAACAGGAUUAGAUACCCUGGUAGUCCACGCCCUAAACGAUGGAUGCUAGUUGUUGGAGGGCUUAGUCUCUCCAGUAAUGCAGCUAACGCAUUAAGCAUCCCGCCUGGGGAGUACGGUCGCAAGAUUAAAACUCAAAGGAAUAGACGGGGACCCGCACAAGCGGUGGAGCAUGUGGUUUAAUUCGAAGAUACACGAAGAACCUUACCUAGGCUUGACAUUGAGAGAAUCCGCUAGAAAUAGUGGAGUGUCUAGCUUGCUAGACCUUGAAAACAGGUGCUGCACGGCUGUCGUCAGCUCGUGUCGUGAGAUGUUGGGUUAAGUCCCGCAACGAGCGCAACCCCCUUUCUUAGUUGCUAACAGGUUAUGCUGAGAACUCUAAGGAUACUGCCUCCGUAAGGAGGAGGAAGGUGGGGACGACGUCAAGUCAUCAUGGCCCUUACGCCUAGGGCUACACACGUGCUACAAUGGGGUGCACAAAGAGAAGCAAUACUGCGAAGUGGAGCCAAUCUUCAAAACACCUCUCAGUUCGGAUUGUAGGCUGCAACUCGCCUACAUGAAGCUGGAAUCGCUAGUAAUCGCAAAUCAGCCAUGUUGCGGUGAAUACGUUCCCGGGUCUUGUACUCACCGCCCGUCACACCAUGGGAGUUGUGUUUGCCUUAAGUCAGGAUGCUAAAUUGGCUACUGCCCACGGCACACACAGCGACUGGGGUGAAGUCGUAACAAGGUAACCGUAGGUGAACCUGCGGUUGGAUCACCUCCUUUCUAGA